GACAGAGGGGGCAAGCGUUGCUCGGAAUCACUGGGCGUAAAGCGCACGUAGGCGGACUCUUAAGUCAGGGGUGAAAUCCUGGAGCUCAACUCCAGAACUGCCCUUGAUACUGGGACGCUUGAGUUCGGGAGAGGUGAGUGGAACUGCGAGUGUAGAGGUGAAAUUCGAUAGAUAUUGCAAGAACACCAGUGGCGAAGGCGGGUCUCUGGACAGUUCCUGACGCUGAGGCACGAAGGCCAGGGGAGCAAACAGG
rnacentral:rRNA from 1 species